rnacentral:rRNA from 1 species
AACGAAUGCUGGCGGCAUGCCUAACACAUGCAAGUCGAACGAAGCCUUCGGGCUUAGUGGCGCACGGGUGCGUAACGCGUGGGAAUCUGCCCCUUGCUUCGGAAUAACAGUUAGAAAUGACUGCUAAUACCGGAUGAAGUCUUCGGACCAAAGAUUUAUCGGCAAGGGAUGAGCCCGCGUAGGAUUAGGUAGUUGGUGGGGUAAAGGCCUACCAAGCCGACGAUCCUUAGCUGGUCUGAGAGGAUGAUCAGCCACACUGGGACUGAGACACGGCCCAGACUCCUACGGGAGGCAGCAGUGGGGAAUAUUGGACAAUGGACGCAAGUCUGAUCCAGCAAUGCCGCGUGAGUGAUGAAGGCCUUAGGGUUGUAAAGCUCUUUUACCAGGGAUGAUAAUGACAGUACCUGGAGAAUAAGCUCCGGCUAACUCCGUG